GACGAACGCUGGCGGCGUGCUUAACACAUGCAAGUCGAACGGGCCUUGUCCCCUUUUUUUUUGGGGGUGGGGUUAGUGGCGAACGGGUGAGUAACACGUGAGUAACCUGCCCCUCACUUCUGGAUAACCGCUUGAAAGGGUGGCUAAUACGGGGUGGUCUGGCCUGCUCGCAUGGGUGGGUUUGGAAAGAUUCGACCGGUUUUGGUUGUUUUGGUGGGGGAUGGGCUCGCGGCCUAUCAGCUUGUUGGUGGGGUGAUGGCCUGCCAAGGCUUUGACGGGUAGCCGGCCUGAGAGGGUGGGCGGUCACACUGGGACUGAGACACGGCCCAGACUCCUACGGGAGGCAGCAGUGGGGAAUAUUGCACAAUGGGCGCAAGCCUGAUGCAGCGACGCCGCGUGAGGGAUGGAGGCCUUCGGGUUGUGAACCUCUUUCGCCAGUGAAGAAGGUCCUGCUCUUUGUGGUGGGGUUGACGGUAGCUGGGUUAAUGAAGCGCCGGCUAACUACGUG
rnacentral:rRNA from 1 species